GAUGAAGAACGUAGCGAAAUGCGAUAAGUAAUGUGAAUUGCAGAAUUCAGUGAAUCAUCGAAUCUUUGAACGCACAUUGCGCCGGCCAGUAGUCUGGCGGGCAUGCCUGUUCGAGCGUCAUUACAACCCUCAGGCCCCCGGGCCUGGCGUUGGGGAUCGGCGGAAGCCCCCUGCGGGCACAACGCCGUCCCCCAAAUACAGUGGCGGUCCCGCCGCAGCUUCCAUUGCGUAGUAGCUAACACCUCGCGACUGGAGAGCGGCGCGGCCACGCCGUAAAACACCCAACUUCUGAAUGUUGACCUCGAAUCAGGUAGGAAUACCCGCUGAACUUAAGCAUAUCAAUAAGCGGAGGA
rnacentral:misc_RNA from 1 species